rnacentral:misc_RNA from 1 species
GAUACUCCACAACCAAAGCAAAGACAGAUCAACUCUUCAAGAUAAACUCACAGGACUCACCACUAUCGCUUUAGGAGAAAGAAAGGCAGGGCCAUAACAUCGUAGUCUCCUAUAACCAUGGACGCCAACUAUCUCAUGUAAACGCUAGAUCUACAAAUCACCAACCUUUCCACAACUUCUCCAAAAGCAACAAGCCAAACACCAAAUAGGGGAAACGAAACCGAGGAAGCAGGAACCACACAACAAAUCAAACCACCUCUUCCUCAAAGCAGAUCCUCUUUCAAACCAUCCUCACCAGUCAGAACCCAGAUGUGCAAAACGAAACACAAAACAAAACUAUACAAACCAACCAAGAAAAGAGAGGGACCCUAAAAAACCUAGUCGGAGGCAAGCCUUCCCUUAUCCUGAAAGAUAAGGAAAAACCACCGAAGAUGACGCUCAGCUUUUCCAAGAGGCUAAGAGGAAGAGGCUUCUAGAGAUAAAAAUUCUGUCUUUAUCUUGAUGUAAAUUACUUAAUACUAAAUGUUGUUUAAUGCUAAUACAU